AGUUUGAUCCUGGCUCAGAACGAACGCUGGCGGCGUGCUUAACACAUGCAAGUCGUACGAGAAACUCCGUUUCGGCGGAGGAGUAAAGUGGCGCACGGGUGAGUAGCGCGUGGGUAAUUUGCCCCCGAGGCCGGGAUAACCUUGCGAAAGCGGGGCUAAUACCGGAUAAGACCACGACUCGUCCGCGGGUAGUGGUAAAAGGUGGCCUCUACGUGUAAGCUAUCACUCAGGGAUAAGCCCGCGUACCAUUAGCUUGUUGGUGGGGUAAUGGCCUACCAAGGCAACGAUGGUUAGCUGGUCUGAGAGGAUGAUCAGCCACACUGGAACUGAGACACGGUCCAGACUCCUACGGGAGGCAGCAGUGGGGAAUCUUGCGCAAUGGGGGAAACCCUGACGCAGCAACGCCGCGUGAGUGAUGAAGGCUCUCGGGUCGUAAAGCUCUGUCAGGUGGGAAGAAAGAUCCUGGUGAUAAUACCACCAGGACUUGACGGUACCACCAAAGGAAGCGCCGGCUAACUCCGUGCCAGCAGCCGCGGUAAUACGGAGGGCGCGAGCGUUGUUCGGAUUUAUUGGGCGUAAAGGGCGUGUAGGCGGUCAGAUAAGUCCGGUGUGAAAGCCCUUGGCUCAACCAAGGAAGGUCGCUGGAAACUGUCUGACUUGAGUACGAGAGAGGAGAGUGGAAUUCCCGGUGUAGAGGUGAAAUUCGUAGAUAUCGGGAGGAACACCGGUGGCGAAGGCGGCUCUCUGGCUCGAUACUGACGCUGAGACGCGAAAGCGUGAGGAGCAAACAGGAUUAGAUACCCUGGUAGUCCACGCCGUAAACGUUGGACACUAGGUGUGGGAGGUAUCAACUCCUUCUGUGCCGAAGCUAACGCAUUAAGUGUCCCGCCUGGGAACUACGGCCGCAAGGCUAAAACUCAAAGGAAUUGACGGGGGCCCGCACAAGCGCUGGAGCAUGUGCUUUAAUUCGACGCAACGCGAAGAACCUUACCUGGGUUUGACAUCCCCAUCCAGUCCUAGAAACAGGAUUUUCCCCUUCUCGGGACAGGGUCACAGGUGCAGCAUGGCCGUGGUCAUCUUGAGUUGUGAUAUGGUGGGUUAAGUCCAACUACGAGCGCAACCCUCAUCCUUAUUUGCCAGCACCGACUUGGGCACUGUCAAGAAAAUGAUCCGGUUAACGGGGAGGAAGGGGGGGAUGGGGUCAAGUCCUCAUGGCCUUUACGCCCAGGGCCACGCACGCGCUCCAAUGGCAAGUACAAAGGGAAACGGCCUCGCGAGAGUGAGCAAAUCCCAGAAAGCAGGUGUCAGUUUCGAUUGGAGUUGGCAUUUGGAAUUCAUGAACGAGGAAUAGGUAGUAAUAGUAGUUCAGCACGAUCCGGUCAAUACGUUCCCGGGCCUUGUUCACGCCCCCCGUCCCACCCUCAGAGUGGGAUGUACCAGAAGUCGAUGGGCUAACCCCCGACUCGUCGGGGGAAGCAGGCGCCUAAGGUAUGGUUGGUGAUUGGGGUGAAGUCGUAACAAGGUAACCAAGGGCGAA
rnacentral:rRNA from 1 species